AAGCAGAACCCUGAGUUCCAGUGUUACCCUAUCUUUAAGUACUUUGAGAACUGGUGCCAAGACGAGAACCGUCAUGGAGAUUUCUUCUCUGCUUUGAUGAAAGCUCAGCCUCAGUUCCUCAAUGACUGGCAAGCCAAGCUCUGGUCUCGUUUCUUCUGCCUCUCGGUUAGUAAACAUUAACUCUCUCUACUUUCAAAUAUGUUUUAAAACAUUGUCCUGACCAAUAAGAGGAUUGUUUUUCUUUUUUGCAGGUUUAUGUGACAAUGUACCUCAAUGAUUGUCAAAGAACUGAUUUCUACGAGGGUAUUGGGUUAAACACUAAGGAGUUCGAUAUGCACGUCAUCAUUGAGGUAAAGUAACUUGAAACCAGAAGAUUAAUAGUAGUAAGUAAGCUGUGUGUCUGAAAAUGUUGGAAACUUUUGUUUCAGACAAACCGAACCACGGCAAGAAUCUUUCCGGCUGUGCUGGAUGUUGAGAACCCUGAGUUCAAGAGGAAACUGGAUAGAAUGGUUGUGAUCUAUGAGAAGCUGAUGGCUGUAGGAAAAACAGAUGAUCCUUCCUUUGUCAAGAACCUCAAGAAGGUUCCUCUCAUUGCUGGUUUAGUCUCUGAGAUCUUGGCUGCUUAUCUCAUGCCUCCUGUUGAGUCUGGCUCUGUUGACUUCGCUGAGUUUGAG
rnacentral:lncRNA from 1 species